rnacentral:rRNA from 1 species
GAGAGGAGCUGCCCCUAGUACGAGAGGACCGGGGUGGACGAACCGCUGGUGUAUCUGUUGUCGACCAACGGCAUAGCAGAGUAGCCAAGUUCGGAAGGGAUAAACGCUGAAGGCAUCUAAGCGUGAAGCCCCCCUCAAGAUGAGAUAUCCCAUUCCUUAAAGGAAGUAAGACCCCAUGAAGAGUACAUGGUAGAUAGGACAGAGGUGGAAGUGCAGUAAUGUAUGUAGCUGACUGUUACUAAUCGGUCGAGGGUAUGACCU